UCCGCCCCCUCCCAGGGCGGCAGUUCACAGCAUCGGCCGGCAGAGGGCAGCAGAGGCCAGCUCGUGGCAGACCAAGCCCAGGGCCUAGCGCAGAAGCGGGUCCUGGGCCUGAGUCCCGCUGGCUUCCCGGGUGCAGGCUCCACCAGGGAGAAGCAGCGGCCCUUCCUCUCUCUGGCUUGCCCUGGGGAGAGGGGCGAGAGGAGGCAAUUCCGAAAGCCCCUCAUUGUGCGGAGUGGCUUUUUCUUUCUUUUCUGCAUCACAUGCACUGAAUGCCAUUUUCCAAAGUGCUCCCAGAGGGGGCGGGCAGCCAGGUGAUUUCCCAGAAGCCGGAGGAAGAGCCACAGGACGCAAGGCCCACAUAGCUCAGGGGACUUCAGGAGGGCCACACCACUGCUGCUUACAGAACUCGGAGCUUCCUGCCUUGGCAGUCAUCCGGGGAGAAUUGUUACAGCACGGAUGCCUUAUCUGAUCUCUCCUUGGGAGCCUCCCUCCGCUCGCUCUGUGGGACUGAAGGGCUGGAGGCCUGUGCCAGUGUUAGCAAAACAUUUGGAGUCACCGAGCCUGCGACGAGAGUGGCACUGGAGCACUGGAGGUCGCAGUGCUGAGCAGGCUCUGCCUGCCUCGGCUCCCUGACCCUCAGCCAGUGUCCUCGGCUGUGAAGCAGAGGACAGACAGCCAUGGCAUGCUGUGAAUGCCCGACGUGCACCGUUGUAAUCUGUGCAGAGGCAGCAGUGAUGCCCAAGCAGUGGUGCCGAAUCUACCAGACGACUCGGUCUGUCUCCACUGUGCCCUGGCUCUGGAUAAACCACGAAGGAGAGGGCACGGGGGACAGGAGGGACAGCAGGAGAGGCAAGGACCUCUGCAGGGAAUCUGAGUCCCUUAAGUACGUCAUCCCACAGAGAAAAGCCACCUGCAGUCUAUUCCAAGGGCUUUCAAAAUUACUUUAGAAGUGCAAGCAUUUACAGAAGCGGUGGCCCUGCUGAGCACCAAGCGACACAGCGGAGCAGGGCUCCUAACUAGCACCAUGGAACUGGGGAGCCAGACGGAAGAAUCCAGGCGAAAACAACUGCAGAAAAGAGGGUUGAGGGGCCCCGAGCAACUCUCCCUAAGACAGGCGACAGCAUCAUCGCCCCGAGCUGUUUCCGUACAGCCUGUUACCAUCAGCUCUGAAAAUCAGCCCAUUUUAAUACUGUAUGAGCUGAAAUCCUAUGUGCUCCAAAACAAGGUAACAGAGCCUGGAUCAAAGGACUUCGGACCCAGAGUAAUCUACCCACCUCCACUCGGCAGUUGAGUGACUUUUUCCUGGAAGAUAAGAGAUUUCCAACACGUAGGUGAAGUUUUUAUCUGUCGGUCUGGGGUCAGAACAGUAAAUCAUUAUAAUCUUUAAAAGUGAAGCUCAUAUACAUUUGUAAGUUAAUUGGAGUUGGAAAGANNNNNNNNNNNNNNNNNNNNNNNNNNNNNNNNNNNNNNNNNNNNNNNNNNNNNNNNNNNNNNNNNNNNNNNNNNNNNNNNNNNNNNNNNNNNNNNNNNNNNNNNNNNNNNNUUCUCGAGUUGGCACUCGGUCAUCAGAGGAGCCUUAUAUUGAGAGAGCUGAGUACCGAUAGCCUCAUUCGUCAAGAAACUUUUGCCAGGCAGCAUGGCACACGCUUGUAAUCCCAGCACCGAGGGAGGCAGAGGCAGGAGGAUCGGAAGUCCCAGCCCAUCUGAGCAACUUAGGGAGAUCCUGUCCCAAGAUAAAAAAUAAAAAGGAGGACUGCAGGGGUGUAGUUUAGUGGUGGGUGCCCGGAGCUCUACACUGAGCACCACGCACAGACACACGCCUGCGCACAAGCAGAAAGCGUCUGACGUAGGGAGGGGCGCAUGCCCUGACUGGGGCCUGUUCAGCUCUUAGCCCUAUGGGCCGAGCCAGUUUUCAUGUCUCCCGUGGGUUUGCUGUAGUGCUGGGGUCUCUCUCAUGGGUCCGCGUCGGUCAGAUACACACACACACACACACACACACACACACACACACACACACACACACACGUAUAAGGAAAAAGAUUUACCGAAGGAACCAUCUCCACGGCUUGGGGUCUGGAGAGUCUGAGAUUUGCAGGUGACUCCGAGCUGGAGACCAGGGAGACGCUGCAUGCGGGGCAUUUUCUCUGCUCAGGCCUACAGCGGCCUGGGAGAGGCCCCGCCCACUAGGAAAGGCCACCUGCUUUAUUCAAAGCCGUCCGUCCGGUAACACCCUGAGGGACAUGCCAAGAAAAACUGUGAGCAAGUACACGUGCUGGGGGCCAGCCAGGCAACCCGAGAACCAACCGUCCCAGCACUGCCACCCUCCUGGGCUGCACUGGCUCCUGGUGAAACCUAGCUGUGGGCUCGUGUGGCUGGAGUGUCCCCUGGGUGUGUCCUAACCAGCCCUCUUUUCUGGGGGAGCCUCUGCUUUGAACCCCUUGUCCUGGUGGGACCUGGAUGUUUCAGGAAAGUCUGAAGGUUGGGGAACUCUGGUGCUUGCUGAGCACCUGAGGGGCAGAACUGGGUCCCGGUCGGAGAUAAAGUUGCUCACUGCUCUGUAGCCCAACUGCUUUCUUCAGUUUGUCAACUUGAGGUUGAUUUCUACUGCCAAACUUGGCUAAUUUUGACAGUUUUACCCAAUUUUCGGUUUUAUAUUGUGUUCUGGCUUAUACCCAGAUGUCCCCCCAAAUCCUUAUGCACUUAUAGGUGGGGCUUUGAGGAGGUGGUUGGAUCAUGGGUGUGUGAUACUGGAUAUGGAUAUCCAUAACUGAAUAACUGGAUUAGUCCAGUAAUUGGUUUAGCAUAGUUCCUGGCAUGGAAAAUGGGAAGCCCCACCCUGGGUGUGGGUGGCAGCAACCAAUAGGCUUGUAGCCUGGAUGCAAUAAAAGGGGAAGGAGGACUUACUGCUUCCUGCCUCCUGCCUGCCUUACCAUGGACUGUUUCUCCUCUGCAUUGCCCCUCUGCCAUGAGGCCCUGCCUUAGAGUCAGCUGAGGACUGAAACCUCUACAAGCUAUGGGCUAAAAUAAGCCUUUCUUCUCCUAACUUGUGGUUGUAGGGUAUUUUGUUCCAGCAAUGAGAAAGCAACUAAAACAUAUUGUGUGUGUGUGUAGAGGAUUUGCUUAUAUCUUCACCCACCUCUCUGGAAGUCUUCCUGACCCAUGCUUUUUGAAACUUUGUGAGAAGCUCUUGUUACAGACAUUUAUACUUGUUAUAAUUUUCUGAAUUGAUCCGUUCAGCAUUAUGAAAAGCCUUUAUCUCUAGUUAGAAUCAUUGUCUUGUUCUAUUUUGUCUAAGGUUAAUGUGCCCCUUCAGCUUCAUUAAGCUUGGCUAUUCUCAUGGUGCAAUGGUACCAUGGUAUUUGUCAUUAAUUGCUUCUGGAAGGUGUAGAGUACCAAGAAGGACAAGUAUCAAACAAAUUGUUUUGGCUGGAAAGGACAGUGGGUCACCAGGCAAUGCACACCAAUAAGUGUCAAGUACCAGACAAAUGAUGAGUACCAGGACAGGAUUUUUGAAUCAAAAUGUGUUGAAAACCAAAUUCCACGAGUUUCAAAGCAGCUGAGUACCAAGGUCUGGGUGCAUUUCUUUUCUUUUUUUCUUUUUUUUUUUUUUUGCAUUUCUUUUCUUCACUCACUUUCAAUCUCUGUCUUCCUGUUAGAAUGUGUCUUUACUAUAUAGCACAUAAUUAGGUCUAGCUUGUAAGAAAACUCACUGACAGCUCUCUCACCUGGAAGGCCUUGCCCGCUCAUGCCUGCACAGCUGCUAGAACGGCUGGGUCUAAGCAUGCCGCUGUAAAAGCUGAGUGUCUGCCUUCCCCUUGAGUUUCAUUUCUCUUCACCUUUUCUCUCUUCUUUUUGCAUUAUUUGAAUCCUUUGGAAUUCUAUUUUAACUUACUGGCAAUGAGAACAGCCAUUCUGUCUGUCCCGGAAAUCAAGGGAAGGCCAGUUGCUGUGGACAGAGGGGCAGUGCAAGCUCUGCUUAUUGGUUUGGGUGAAUUUGGACCUCACAUUUUACCCAAAUGUCUCGGUCAAGCCUGAGUCCCCCUUCCUCCCAGUUAAUGGCCCAGCCUAAGAUAAGCUAGUACUGCAUGCUCAGUUGGCUUCAUUCCCUCCCUACCCAUGGUCCAGCUGUGGUUGGGUCUUAUCUCAGACCACUGCAGGGCAACAAUGAGAGACUUUCAGGGCUGCCGUAGGAGCUCCCUGGCUCUGGGAUUGCACCUGGAGAUAGAAACCGCCCUGGCCAGGUGCACACACCUGGAUCUACUGAAUCCUCCAGUCUCUCCAUCAGCCAGGGCUUUGUACCUACAGACCCCUCUGGGGCUCGGCGGGCCAGGGACUACCACUGUGUCCUUCAAGACAGUCGUCGGGACAGUCGUCAACACAUGAGCUUUGCAUGUGAGCAAGCAGAGGGGUCACUGCGCCUGCCAACGACUGAACGAGGGCCCAGUGGGCCAAGCAGAAACCACAGCGGACGUGGCAGGGACAGCUGUGAUUGUGGGUGAUGGAAGCAGUGCGCGGCGCACUCCGAGUUCAGCUGAGAAGGGCACCAGGGAAGAGCUGGCGUUGGCCGUGGUAGCCAAGUUCCGGACUUUCCGAGGGGGCAGCACUCACGGUGAAGGCGGCACCAAGGAGAGGGCUGAGGCAGGGACCCUGCCGCGGGGCAGG
rnacentral:lncRNA from 1 species